rnacentral:rRNA from 1 species
GACAGAGGAUGCAAGCGUUAUCCGGAAUCACUGGGCGUAAAGCGUCUGUAGGUGGUUUAAAAAGUCCACUGUUAAAAAUUGAAGCUUAACUUCAAAGAUGCCGUGGAAACUUUUAAACUUGAGUAUGAUAGGGGUAGAGGGAAUUUCCAGUGGAGCGGUGAAAUGCGUAGAUAUUGGAAAGACCACCAAUGGCGAAGGCACUCUACUGGGCCAUUACUGACACUGAGAGACGAAAGCUAGGGGAGCGAAUGGG